CCGGCCCCGCCCCGGCUCCGCGGCCACCGGCUCCCCGCGCACCGCCCCGCGCCGUGACGGCCCCGCCGCGACCCCCGCGGGGGGAUCCGGCGGGGGCUGCGCGCACGGGAAAGGCUGCUCCGUGCUAGCCUCAAGGCGGGCCCGUGGGCCAUCAGCACCUUGAGCGGCUUGGGGCGUUGCUGCCCAGUGGUCAGGGAGCCCUCGCGGGCUGCCCUACCCGGAGCUGCCGACAGCACGGCACCGGCUUCCCGUGGUUUGGGGUGGCAGGUCUUGGAAGUUUCCCCACAGACGUGUAGAACAGUUUCCACCUCUCCAUUCCAGUGGUUGAAAUCCACUACCGUAGAGGCAAGGAGGGAAGGAAGGAAGUCCCAGAUUGGAGCAGCUCCGAUCUCCUUUCUCUGUGCCAACCACACUCUAGGAGGACAGGUCAAUGCCAGCUGCAUGUCUAAGCUAUAGACAUCACUCUAUUGUAUUAACAACAGAGGAGCAAACACAUGGAGAGAUGGAAAUCGGGCUCAGAUUCUGCCUCUCAGCAGCCAAGGAGUAUAGGGAAUAAAUCCUGGAUGCAGACAAGGGGCACUUAAGAUCAGGAAUCUCAGUCUGCAGGAUGAACUGAGAAGCUGUAUACCCUGGAUGAAGUCUGCCAAGGCUCAGUGGAGCACAGCAGCAUGCCAAAUCCUCCCUGCAUUUCAGCAUAUCAACCUG